UACGGCCAUAUCACGUUGAAACAUCGGUUCACGUACAAUCACUGAAGUUAAGCAACGUCGAGGGUGGGCAGUACCUAGAUGGGUGACCGCGUGAGAAUUCCAGGUGCUGUAAG